AUUGAACGCUGGCGGCAGGCCUAACACAUGCAAGUCGAACGAGUGGCGGAGGGGUGAGUAAUGUCUGGGAAUCUGCCUGAUGGCGGGGGAUAACUACUGGAAACGGUAGCUAAUACCGCAUACCCUCAGAUGUGCCCAGAUGGGAUUAGAUAGUAGGGGGGGUAAGGGCUCACCUAGGCGACGAUCCCUAGCUGGUCUGAGAGGAUGACCAGCCAAACUGGAACUGAGACACGGUCCAGACUCCGACGGGAGGCAGCAGUGGGGAAUAUUGCACAAUGGGCGCAAGCCUGAUGCAGCCAUGCCGCGUGUAUGAAGAAGGCCUUCGGGUUGUAAAGUACUUUCAGCGGGGAGGCGUUACCCGCAGAAGAAGCACCGGCUAACUCCGUGCCAGCAGCCGCGGUAAUUC
rnacentral:rRNA from 1 species